AUGAGAUGCUCAAAUCUCUUGUACCCCUAUGAUCUAGAGCCCUCUCACUUUUACAGAGGAGCAGUACUACUAAUCAGCAGCCAUGAGCUUUUUUUUUUUUUAAGUAGGGAGAAAAUAGUUUGUCUACCACUCUGGCAUUCACCUCUACUCAGACAGCUUCCUCCCCUUUGGACAGCAAUACCCUCCAGCUAGAAGUCUGCCCAAGCCCCACAAGCAAAUGGUACCCAGCUCUCAUCUGCCCCAACACGAAUUCCUGGCUGUAGUACAAGAAACUGUAUUAUCCUAUUCCUGUUAUGUCCUCCUCCAGCCAAAGGAAAGCUGAAAACUGAACGGGAAGGGAAAAUUUCCUGCCAGUCGUCUUUGCAAGCUGGGACAAUAUGGCACUUUGGAAAUGAGAACAGAAAGACACUGCGGUUUUAUGAUCAAAAACUCACACUUUAAAGAAUAUGUAAAAACAGGUAUUGUAAAUACCCAGAUAUCUACCCAGGGUACAUCCUAUCUUAAAAUCAAAGAUCUGAACAAUUAGGGUUAUGUAAAGCUAAUUUUGCCUUAGAUACGGACCAGGAAGCACUGUUGCAAUAGUUCCCCCAAGGGAGAAUGUACAAUUGCAGUAUCCCAGCACAAUUGCAAGGCAGCUGAGCACAGAUAACAGUUAUGGAGACAUUCCUGUCAAGUGUACAGCAGAGGGAGAACCUGGUAAUAAGUUAGCAAAGCAGUUAAAAAUAAUAAUUUUUAUGUACAUAAAAGAUCUUGUUCACAACUGUAGAAUACGUGGCAUUUUCCUUGCUCAAACAAGCUUGCAUAUGCAAUGCAGUAACUGCACUUACUUGCUAUCAAAAGACAGUAUAGAAAAUGCAUUAUCAAGUGAUAGCCUGCCAGAUUAGGCUGAUUACUGCUAUUUAAGUAACCUGUCUACAACACAGCAAAACAUCGCAUUACUUAUAUUAACACCUAGAGGUGUCUGCCCAGUUUCUCAGUGUAUGGUAGUCUGACAGAUUUCCACAUAAACAUUAGACAUUGUUGAAAUCCUGAAAGGUUAUGUUCUACAAUUUGUCCAAGCUCAAAGGAGGUCUGCAACUGAGCAGCUUGUAACAGAAACAUUUUGUGGGUUCACCUAUCGCUUCAGGUUCAAGAAUGGAUAAUGCUUUCCCUGUCUGAUCUUCCCAGUCACUUGGACUUCUCAUAAGUUCAACAGUAAAUUGAUUUAAUUAAAUGUUAAGGUGUGUAGGGUCAAUAGUCUAAAUCUGGAGGUCAUGAAGAUAUUGACAUUUAUUGGCUAUAGAUAAAAGUUGUUUUAAUAUAGGCGUGCCAAGUACAGUGGUGCUAUAACGUUCUUCACCUCAAUAUCUGUGGAGACUAAGAUAGCAGCCAUGAAAUUUCUGUCAGCGUAACACCUAUUUAGAACUCAGUAACUUAUAAACGUGUCUUCAGGCACCUUGGAGCAAACUUGGUGCACCAAGAUGCAAGAGCUUUUCUUUCCAGAGGGGAAACUGACAUUUCUAUUGCUUUCAACAACCUGUAGGUGGAUGGGGGUCCCAUUGAUUAAAUAAGAUCAGUUUCAGUGAAGAACCUGCACCUCUUCUUUUAAGAAUCUAGUAUAUAUGUUAGCUUUUAUUCUCCUUGACAGUUCUGCACUUCAGCAGCAACUUCAGACUUACUGCUNNNNNNNNNNNNNNNNNNNNAUGAAGAUAUUGACAUUUAUUAUGUCAAUUAUUUAUUAUGGCUAUAGAUAAAAGUGUUGUUUUAAUAUAGGCGUGCCAAGUACAGUGGUGCUAUAACAUUCUUCACCUCAAUAUCUGUGGAGACUAAGAUAGCAGCCAUGAAAUUUCUGUCAGCGUAACACCUAUUUAGAACUCAGUAACUUAUAAACGUGUCUUCAGGCACCUUGGAGCAAACUUGGUGCACCAAGAUGCAAGAGCUUUUCUUUCCAGAGGGGAAACUGACAUUUCUAUUGCUUUCAACAACCUGUAGGUGGAUGGGGGUCCCAUUGAUUAAAUAAGAUCAGUUUCAGUGAAGAACCUGCACCUCUUCUUUUAAGAAUCUAGUAUAUAUGUUAGCUUUUAUUCUCCUUGACAGUUCUGCACUUCAGCAGCAACUUCAGACUUACUGCUUGCGUCUUCUACAGCCUUGGUAUCUCAAGUGACGUAACUGUGACACAAUCUGACCGGUCUUUACUGCAGUCAUGAGACAAAAAUACUCGUGUGCAGUUUCCUCAGCUGCCUUUUGGACAGAAGUAAUUAGCAUUGGUAGAUUUUAUAGUAUAUAAUGCAUCUAUCUAUUUUGCAGUGCUGCUGUGCUUUAGAAGAAUUACGUUACUCUCAAGGAAGAUCAUUAAAUCAUUAAAAUCUUGCAAUAAGAUAAAUAUAAGUAAACACGUUCAAGGUCAGAACAAGAUGUAGGAACAGGUAGAAGCUGAGCACUUCUGUCUACACUGUAAGAAAAGCACUUUGUCUCCAGGAAUAGAUGACAGGAAUCCCACUUCCAGAAUACCAAAACCUGUUCUCACCAAUACAGCAGAAUCCCACUGUUAAGACUUUCUGCUCAGAAGCCCUGAAACCAAGCCAAAGCAUCAGCAUUUCUCUUCCAAUGCCUCUGCCCUUUCAGUAGGGAAAGUACAGAUACUGAAACAAAAACAUUGGUUGCGGAUUGAGUGAAACCAUGCUUGCUGGAAAGCUUUAUUAGCUUUAGCUAAUAAAAGUAAUCCUGACAAGGAAUAGUUAAAAGCU
rnacentral:lncRNA from 1 species